CAAAGCUUGGUUGUCAGUGACUGUAUGUUAAUGAAGACUGAAUUAAAUAAUUAAAUAUUAAAGUAUACAGAAAUGGUCAAUUCUGAGAUUAAAAAAAAAAUAAUAAUAAUACUUGGGAAAAGGGGAGGGAAGGCUAUUCCAUAGGUGGGAGGAUGAGAGGAAUCAUGAAACCUAAAUGACGUCUUUAUAAGUGUUUUUCUGCAAGGAGAUCAUGUGUUUUUCUGAAAGGAGAAAUGUUCACCUAUUGCUGCUUUGUGGAAAUUGUGACAAGAAAGUACACUUUUUCAGGGAAACACCUUCACAUCACAGAAGGGAUAUCCCUAAUGAAAAGGCAGAUAAAAUGCAUUUUGACCCAAAGACCAUUAUUUCUUUGUAGUCUCCAUGACUUUUUUUGACGUGAUGGGAAUGAUCACUGCAGAACAUCUAAAAGCCAGCUUUGCCUUUGAGCUACUUUUCUUUUGUUUAAGCUAUAGGAGGAUCUGCUCUGAUUAUAUCUCAGAAGAACAGAUUGAAUUCCAAUUGAAACCUUCAAUAAGGCCUGAGUUAUAGGCAAGAUUAUGAAAUCUCUGGUAUUCUACAUGCUCAGAACAAAAUCUCCAACAUGCCCACUUCAAUAGCUUGCGCAAAAUUAAACGAACAAAAACAUAACACUGGAUUUUGAAGGAUGUCCUUCUACAAAUUUCCACCACAAACCUUAUGUUUGAGUUCAGACUGUAAAAAACAUAUAUGAAAUGACAACAAACGUCUUUUUAGUACGGAAAUGUGCUCAUUUUAAGCAGUUGGAAAUACAUGAAAAAAUCAUGAAAGUAACUGAAAUACCUGCCAUUGCUCCCUUCCUAAAAAUCUAAGCCAAAAUGAUUGUACUGGAGUAUUUAAUUUGCUAAGGGAAAAAAAUAAAAGAGAAAAAAGUGUGUUGAACUUAGAUUUACAUACUGUAGCUGCUUGCUUGAUCUCCUCUAGAGAUCACAGCUUGAGUUCUUCCAUGAAAAAUGUUCUCUCCACCACGUCUGACAGUCUAAACCUGGCAACACUCUACCUGCUGAGUACAACCCUCCAGGUAUGCAGAAGAUAGAAGGAUAAGUCCUCAGCAGGUCUUUUUAUUGUUUAUUUUUGUAGCAGCAAAACCCAAAACUUUUGUGCAUCCACGUAUUCUGUAAGUCCAAACUGAAAUUAAUCACACUGGUUUUGGAAGAUAAGAAAUUGUGUCGCUUCCUGGCCAGCUGGAUUUUAUUGGAUUUGGAGAUAAAUA
rnacentral:lncRNA from 1 species